CAGGCGGCUGUCCUGUCUUUUGUUCUGGCAGAGAUAAGAUGUAUAAAUUAUGAGUGGUUGACAAAGUGUACUCCAGCGCCUAAGGCAGCUCAUCAAUCAUUUUCCACAUGUCGACAGAUAAUUGAUGCAAACCCUGAAGGCGCAUCUCCAUCAGAAGUCUGUGUGCAGUGAGGAUCCAGAAAUAAAUGAUGGGAAUAAAACACACAUACAUAAAACCACCUUUCACGAAUACUGCAAGGUCUCUAAGCUUGGAAAAGGAAAAUGGGUAAGUCAAGGGUUCUUAACCUUUUUGGUGUCAUGGAUCCCGUUGGCAGUCUAGUGAAGCCUUUAGAAUCUUUCUGGAAUAAUGUUUUUAGAGGCAUAAAAAUUGGACUCAAAGGUAACCACUUACACUGAAAUACAGUUAUCAAAAUACUUUUUCAAAAGGAAGCUCUUGGAUCCCAGUUUAAAAACCCCUGGGGUAACUAGAUUUGAGACUUAAUAAGGCUUAUAACCCUAAACUCUGUUGACUAGUCAGGGCUGAUCUGCAAAUCUCCUGGCCCCAGGCUCUGGUGAGAGGGGACAAGAAAUGCAUAUGACCUACCCCCCUAUUAAUGUCAAAAAAAAUUCAGUCUACUCUUUAAAUGAUUUUCAUUUUCUCAAUUGCCCUGCAGAAAAGGAUACACAGGGCAAAUUCGAGAGUCCCAACUGAAUGUUCCUUUGCACAUUCUGAAGUUAAAAUAAUAGCUUAUAUUUUCUUUUAUGUGAAGAAAUAUCCAAGCCCUGAAGUGUUCUAAGACAUUAUGUCCAACAGCAUGCAUUGUACAGAGUGUCU
rnacentral:lncRNA from 1 species